UCCUCAAUCCUACUUCAGAUUCUGCUUAUCCCCGUAUGUCUUCCGUCCUUCUCAUCUAGUAGAGGUUCCUCCUGGUUUGACCUAAGAACAACGGCCUCCUCAAAAUGAUUCGUGAAAGAGGCAGUUUGAACCUACGUUUAAUUUCGUUUACAAACUAUGCUUCGUCGUCUUACCGAAAAGGUUUCCACAUUAAGAGGGUAAAAGUCAACUUUGGAAAUAGGGGAAAGCAUGAUAAAUAUACGAAAUACGAAUGAUACGUUUUGACGUCGGCUUUCAUCCGGACCUCCUACACUUAACGUGAGUUUGGAUACGUCCAAAGCACCGGUUUGAUCGACGAUGAUAACAUAAAGUCCCGUAAGUCUACCACCUCACCUUCAGUUCGUAGGAGGACGUUCAGGUAGUUUUAGUCGACUUGGGAGCGAAGGUGAACACUUUUAUGGUCACGUUCUUAGUUCGUUCCUGUUGUCACCGCAGUACACCUAUAGUAGUGGACUGGCGGAACUUCUAGGAGCAUUUGGUAAAGUCAUGAGUUUGUCAAGACCGAGGGGUGCACAAAGUCUCAGUCCUAGACUGUAAAUAUCGUUCUCUCUCCAGUAUGUCUUCGACUCCGUCGUGGACUUUUCUGCACUACUCUACUAGUACCUCUAAGUUCGAGUCUAACGACUGGAAUUCUUGAGAGAACGGUAGGUCCUCUUCGUCAGCAGAUUAAACGUCAGAGUCGACCUCAGACGAUUGGCUCUAUAUAAACUAAGACUCGCUCUCUAGGUCGUAGACUCCUUCUAGUAGUGUCUGGUAACACAACCGCUUCGUGAGAGAGUGCUAUUCGGCAACGUACAACCUGUGACCGUCAGUCUACGGUGGUUACCCGUACGAUUACCGAUGCGGUUAUCGUCGCAGCCACUGGGACUCGACGUAAAAUAACCAUAACCCUUCUUCUUUCUUCUCAACCUCUCCUACCUCUACGAGUUCUCCCUCCACCCACUCGACUUCCUUCAAUAGCCUCCCUUUCUGAAGAACGAAGUGUCGAUGUUCCUCGUCUUCCAGCUCGAGACAAGAGUCUAGUCCCUUAACGUCCUUUUUGAGAGGAGCGUACACGGCUUGUAUAACAUCCUAGAUGACCAUUACAAGCAAGCGGUUUCCUCGUCGUCGACAUCGGGACAAGGGUACGCCAGAACGUGUCCGGCUUAGACAGCCACGUGUCCGGCUUGUAGGAUCCCAUAAACGUCUUACAAUCCGACUAACCAAAGAAAGAAAGAAGAACCUGGAUCCCAUCGAUUUAAUUACCCUUCAACUAUGAGGUCUGAAUGCCACGACAUGAAAGAAAAAACCAAACGUCCGUGGAGACACACUACAAAUCUCUUUAUAGGAAAGGAUAGAUUACACACCAGCCACUGUAAAGAUACAUUGAAAAAAGUUGUUUCUCACCUAAAAAUAACCG
rnacentral:rRNA from 1 species